AGUAGAGUAAAUGGCAGUCUGUCCUGUUGAAGGAGAGUGGAUUAAACAGCUUGAGCCUCUGACUCAUCAGCUCCUAGAAAGUGGGCUUCAGUAACCUGCUCUGGACCUGGAAAAUAUCUGCACAUCUCCUGGAGAUGCCAACCCAGGCAACAGAGUUGCUGGAAGUCAACUAGACAUGUCUGCAGAGCAGGGGAAGCUGGAUGAGGGCUGAAAUUUUUAAAGGAGUCCAAGUUUCCAGUCCCUGGAGUUGCUCUGUGGCUCUCCUCCCUGUGGAUUCUCCCUGUUUAUCUCUCAGUCUCCAAAGGAUCCAUAAACCUUUUCACUAAGGCUCUGCUGCCCUCUGUCGCCAUCCUGGAUCCGUAACCAAGGCCUCCCAGCAACGCCUCUACCUCCUACCCUUGCAGACUGAGGUCUGACGAUUUCCUGGUCUCCACAGCUAGGCUGGAGGAUGUUGGGCCAAGCCUUAUUGAUCAGACUAUAUAUUACCCAUGAAUACUUACUCCCCGGGCCAAACCUUGGGAUUUUAAAACAGGUUCACCAAAUUGUCAAUUAAGUGAAAAUCAAUCCCCAGCCAUUUAUCACCGUGUUAAUCCGUCCAUGCAGUCCAAGGGAAAAAAUCAAUAGCUUUCUGUCACCAGGGAGCAAUUGAGCAGAGGUACAGGACCAACAUCUGCUGUAUCAGGGCAACAGCUGAAAUUUAUAAUCUUGGAGAAAAAUUGCAGCCUGCCAAGAGACACAUUAGAAACUUCUGAAAAGUUGCACCAUUGAGGGGAAAGAUGCAAGACAUGGGAGGUUUGACGUGGCCGGGCGUGGGGGAGGGUGGCCGGGAGGAGAGAGUAUCUUGGUGCAUGGGGAUGGGGAUUAAUGACCCAGAGACAAAUAAAGAUGACAUAAAAUUGCUGGCCUGCAUACCACCAAGUUGCUCUUCCAGGAGCUCUCCCUGCUCGUCCCCCACCCCACCUCUCCCCUUCGGACAGUUCUUGCAGAUACAGCCUUGCAGAAUGGCCUAUUGGACAUAUUAUGCUGUGAAUCACCUGGAGCAACAGUUUAAUCCUGCUGCUUUUUUGGAAAGGGACUAUCAUUGUCUCAGGAGAAGUCAGGGGAAAUGGAGCAUAUUGGUAAAAUGGUUUUGGAACUUUUUUAGGAAAAAAAA